ACUGAGAGGGCAUGUCAUUCAAUUGUAUUGCCUGACCUUGUGUGGCGGAAGCUUAUGCGCAUUCCCUGUUGCGAGGAGUUUGGAUCUGGUCGAUGAUACAUGUCUAGCAUGGGCUUGUGCUUGUGUUGAGGCUGGAGAUGAGCGCUGUGCUCCAACGUGCUAAUGAUCGGAUGUUGCACUCUGAGGGCAAUGUCAUUCGGUUGUAUUGCUUGAGGUGGUGUGGCGGAAAGUUCUUAGCACGGGAGUUCGCAUCCUACCGACGAUGCAAACCUUGCACGGGCGCAUGCUUAUGUUAAGGCUGGAGUUGAUCUCUAAGCUUGGGCGUGUUAUUAGGCGGAUGUUGCACUGAGAGGGCAUGUCAUUCAAUUUGUAUUGCCUGACCUUGUGUGGCCGAAGCUUAUGCGCACUCCCUGUUGCGAGGAGUUUGGAUCUGGUCGAUGAUACAUUUCUAGCAGGCGUCUGUGCUUUUGUUGAGGCUGGACACGGGCUGUUGGUGGAAAUUUGGAUGUUUUUGACGAAGCACUGGUGGCAUGUGGGCUAUCUUUAUGCUGAGGCUGGAGACGAUCUCUAGGCCUG
rnacentral:lncRNA from 1 species